UGCAACAUUCUAAUGAUUUUAAACAUCAUACACUCUACUUAUAAAAUUUAGCUAGACUUAUGACGUAAAUUGUAAACAAGAUAAAAACAUCAAUUUAUGAUAACAAACAACACAUAACAUUAUUGUAUUAGAGUAUUAUACAUAUACUUACUAUAAUAGAAAACAUAAAUUAUUAUUCUAAUAGAAUAUUAUUCGUACAACCUUUGAAUUUAAACUCAACUAAUAUGUGAAGGAUAUUACUAUCAUUACAUUACAUGUAUUAUUCUUUAACAUAUAACUAUUGUCCAACCUAAAUAUUGUUUUAUUAAACUUCCACUUAUCUUCAGACCUUCAAAUCAUAACUAUUGUUUAUCAAACAUUCAACCAUACAUAUUUUUCAAAAUAUAUAAAAUAUAGCCAACAUUCAAAGAGAAUAAUACUCUUAAUAACGAUUAAAGUCUUGCAAAUAUUUUAUCAAGUCAAUCAAUAAUCCUCAUUCCCUUGCAUCCCUUCUUGCACCAUGUUAAGAUGCUUUCCUCAAUUAUAUUUUGCAAACUCCAUAGAUUGUUCAAUUAGUGCAUAUGCAGGUUAGCAUUUAGUUUGUCUGCAUCAUGAAAAGUAAAAUCAAUGUAAUCAAAUAUUAUUAGAAAAAAUAUCCAUCAUAUACAAACUAUAUUCAAUUAAUAAUAAACAUAAAAAAUUUGUAAGAUUUUAAAAUAAUUAACAAUAGAAAUUAUUUUAAAUAUUUUAGCAUAAAAGUAAUAACUUAAAAAGUCUAAUGAAAUCAUAAACAACUAGUGUGAAUAUUAGAACACUUUUGUUGAUUUUGAGUUUUCAUAAUAACUCAAAAUCUAUAAUCAUGACAGUUUUGAGUUACCUAUAGAAUUAAGAUCUAGUUGCAAAUAUGUUGAUGAUUUCACAUAUUCUACAUAAAUCAAGGUUUAAAUGAUAUGUUUUAUAAUAAUAUAUUCCAUUAUAUUAUGAGUUUUAGAGAUAACUCUAUAGUAAAAUAUCUCAAUUAGAAUACAUGGUGGAAGAUACAUAAUGAUUUUGACUAAAACCAAUAGUAUAAUGAGAAUAUAGAGUUCCAUAAAUUAUUUCAUACAUGAAUUAUAGUAACGUAAAAUCAUAAAGAAAGAUAAAUUUGAUGAUUACAACACAUUAACUUAAAAUCACACGCUAAGAUAAACCCGUGAAGAGAUUAUAGUAUUAUACGUUACCUAUAUAACUCUAUAUGCAAACUUUAAAUCUGAUUGUGUAGAAUAAGCAAUUUGCUAGAAUAACAAGCUUCAGUUUCUUUAAUUUAGGAAUGGUUGAUGAUCUGAAACUUGAUCUGAUUUCAGAAUCAUAAUCACAAGGUUAAAAACCCAAAUGAGAAGGAAUAAGAAAUUGUGUUAAAUCAGAUUGCCUAGAAUAUUUAUGUAUUAAACCAUAUUUUAAUGUAUGUGUACUACAUUAUCUAAUUAAUCAACAAAAUAACAUUAGAACUCAAGUUUUACUAAUCAUAAUACUUAGAAUAUUACAUACUUUAAAUAAGAAUAUGACAUAUACUUUCAGAAUAUAUGGCAUUGUUUCAUUAUUUUAACUGAAAACUAUACUAUAAUUAGAACAUGUAGUUUUAUAGAAUAUUUCAUAGGUGUAUACAUUAACUCAAAAUCAUGUAGAGAGAUAAAUUUCACGAUUAUAACACAUUAACUCAAAAUCACAUUAUAAGAUAAAAAAGAGAAGAGAUAACUCUCAAUGCAAAAUUUGAAUCCAAUUAUGUAGAAUAAGCCAUUUGCUAGAAUAAUAAGCUUCGGUUUCUUUUAUUUAGGAAUGGUUGAUGACUCGAAAUUUGAUAUGGUUUCAGAAUCAUAAUCACAAAGUUGAAAAUCCAAAUCACACGGAAUAAGAAAUUGUAUUAAAUCAGAAUGCCUGGAUAUUUAUGUAUUAAAUCUUAUUUUAAUGUAUGCGUACUGCAUUAUCUAAUUAAUCAACAAAAUUUCAUUUAAACUCAAAACUAAUCAAAAUACGUAGAAUAUUACAUAUUUUAAAUCAGAAUAUGACACAUAAAUUCAGAAUAUAUAUGGAAUUGCUUCAUCAUUAACCAAGUACUAUCACAAUACUUCAUAAAAAGGUCCAAAGCAAAGUUGUUUCCAAUAAAACAAGAAUGUAUAAAAUCAGAUAUUACACAUCAUUUAACAAAGAUGAUACAAGAAAGCUGUUUCCAACAUAAUCGUAAUGUUUAAAGCUGUAAUGUAACACAUAAUUUCAUAAUAUUUCACAUUAUCUCAUAACGAAAGGUUUAAAGAGAUUAGUUUCUAACAAAUGUACAUCCAAAAUCUAAAAGGAAAGCAAGAUCUGACUUAUCUAAUCAUAAGAUGUAUAAUAUUAAAUUAAAUUACUUAACUGUCACCAGACCAUAAAAAUUAAUCAAACAAAAUAACACCUAAAAUCAAAUUAUAUUUAAAAUACAUGCCUUCUGACGAUGAUUCUGUUGAACCAUCGAUAAUAUAUGAUGAAUGUGCGAUUUCUAGUGUUUUUCACUGUUAAAACUCGAAUAACAGGGUAUGGUUUUUCACCAGAUCCUCUAAUUAAUCAAUCAAAUUAAUAACACCUAAAUCAAAUUAUAUUUUAAAAUACCUGCAAUCUGAAUAUGAUUCAGUUGAACCAUCGAUAAUUUAUGAUGAAGCUGCAACCUCUAAUGUUUUUCGCAGCUAAAACUCGAACUAAAGGCUACAGUUUUUCAAUCCUAUGGUUUUGUCGAUGCUUGGGGUUUUCUGAGUACCGAUCCAUUCGUUUUCUUGAUGAUGAGUGCGAUUAUUAGGGGAUUUUGUUGAAAAGCUAUGAAAUGAAGAUUGAUAAAUGAUUUUGAUCGAUAAGAAUUUGAAGGGGAGAAGGAUAUUAACGAACUCAAAGAAAUUGGGAAGAAGAAGGAAGUGAAUGGUAAAAUGAUCAGAUCCAAUCUAUUGAGUGAAAAGUACAACUCUACCCCUCCGUGUAUUUCAAUUAAGCAUGGAUUUCUACAUAAUUUC
rnacentral:lncRNA from 1 species